rnacentral:rRNA from 1 species
AUACGGAGGAUCCGAGCGUUAUCCGGAUUUAUUGGGUUUAAAGGGUGCGCAGGCGGGAGAUUAAGUCGGCGGUGAAAUUUUUCAGCUCAACUGUAAAAGUGCCUUCGAAACUGGUUUCCUUGAGUGUAGAUGAAGUAGGCGGAAUUUGUGGUGUAGCGGUGAAAUGCAUAGAUAUCACGAGGAACUCCGAUUGCGCAGGCAGCUUACUAAACUACUACUGACGCUCAGGCACGAAGGCGUGGGGAUCAAACAGGAUUAGAUACCCUGGUAGUCCACGCAGUAAACGAUGAUUACUAGCUGUUUGCGAUACAAUGUAAGCGGCUGAGCGAAAGCGUUAAGUAAUCCACCUGGGGAGUACGGUCGCAAGAAUGAAACUCAAAGGAAUUGACGGGG